AAUAAAUUAAUUUUUUAUUUUUUAUCUUUAAUUUUUGACUCAUCGUUUUAUUUAAAAAAAUUUUGCGAUUGAUAUUUUUGUUUUUAUUAGAUGAUAAAUCAUGAAUAGUACCUUACGUGUGACUAAUUUUUUUUUCAAUUUUCUGAAAAUUUUUCAAAUAAGACAGAUGGUCAAACGUUGGAUACGAAAAUCGGAGAAUUUAUU
rnacentral:pre_miRNA from 1 species